GCCCUGGUAGUGCAGUGGUUAAGCUCUUGGCUACUAGCCAAAAGGUUGGUGGUUCGAACCCACCCAGUGGUG
rnacentral:tRNA from 1 species